GAGNNCCNNNNANNCANGCAUGCUAGUCUUAGCGAUUGGAACCACUUCGGUGGGGAUUAGUGGCGAACGGGUGAGUAACACGUGGGCAAUCUGCCCUGCACUCUGGGACAAGCCCUGGAAACGGGGUCUAAUACCGGAUACUGAUCCUCGCAGGCAUCUGCGAGGUUCGAAAGCUCCGGCGGUGCAGGAUGAGCCCGCGGCCUAUCAGCUAGUUGGUGAGGUAACGGCUCACCAAGGCGACGACGGGUAGCCGGCCUGAGAGGGCGACCGGCCACACUGGGACUGAGACACGGCCCAGACUCCUACGGGAGGCAGCAGUGGGGAAUAUUGCACAAUGGGCGAAAGCCUGAUGCAGCGACGCCGCGUGAGGGAUGACGGCCUUCGGGUUGUAAACCUCUUUCAGCAGGGAAGAAGCGAAAGUGACGGUACCUGCAGAAGAAGCGCCGGCUAACUACGUGCCAGCAGCCGCGGUAAUACGUAGGGCGCAAGCGUUGUCCGGAAUUAUUGGGCGUAAAGAGCUCGUAGGCGGCUUGUCACGUCGGUUGUGAAAGCCCGGGGCUUAACCCCGGGUCUGCAGUCGAUACGGGCAGGCUAGAGUUCGGUAGGGGAGAUCGGAAUUCCUGGUGUAGCGGUGAAAUGCGCAGAUAUCAGGAGGAACACCGGUGGCGAAGGCGGAUCUCUGGGCCGAUACUGACGCUGAGGAGCGAAAGCGUGGGGAGCGAACAGGAUUAGAUACCCUGGUAGUCCACGCCGUAAACGGUGGGCACUAGGUGUGGGCAACAUUCCACGUUGUCCGUGCCGCAGCUAACGCAUUAAGUGCCCCGCCUGGGGAGUACGGCCGCAAGGCUAAACUCAAAGGAAUUGACGGGGGCCCGCACAAGCGGCGGAGCAUGUGGCUUAAUUCGACGCAACGCGAGAACCUUAUCAAGGCUUGACAUACACCGGAAACU
rnacentral:rRNA from 1 species